CUUUUGCAAACAGCUUGACACAACCAUAAUAAUAGUUGAAACUUGAAAAGAAAAAAAAACUUGAUAAGAAACUGUAAGAUACAAAGAAACUUAACAAUGAAAAAGGCCGCUUUGAAAUCUUUUCUGCCUGUAAACGGUUUAUAUUGUUUCUCUGUGUAAGGAAAAAAUUGUAAUGUACAACAGGAGUUAGUGUUCUUUUGCUUCUUUACUAGAACCACCUCUACAACAGCCAACAGACGGUGAAGGUCGAAACUUGUAAUAAGUAGCAAAAGACAAAUAAACGAAGCUUAGACCAACAUAGACUUUGAAACAGCUAUGUGAAUACAAGGUCAGAUAAACGAACACCCCUGUCAAAGAUAUCACCACUCCAAAAGUUGCAACGCAUUUCAAGAUAGGAAGCGCCUGGAUCUAGUUGAAACCCGCCUUCGCCGAGGGUGCUGCCUUUGCCGGCGAAAGUUGCCGGCCAGACGGUGUAAGGGCAGCUGUUCUUCAGUGUGAAGACGGUGGCGGAAACAGCAACUCCGCCUUCAUUUUUGUAAAACACAAACCAAAUCAUUAAAAAGGAAGAUAAAGACAUAAGUGAAUGAAAUAGUGAAGAAACAAAAACAAAAACAUACUGAGUGAAAUAGUGAAGAAACAAAAACAAAAACAUAAUGUGUUUGUUGUUGCUGCUGUUACCUGUAAUGAACAUGAAGAAGAGAAUGUGAAGACUGGCCAUUCUUUUUUUUUGUAUUUAGUUUCUUGUGUGUUAUGUGUUGUGAAUGUUGAUGAUGAUGAAUGUCAGUGGCAUUGAUCCUCUAUUUAUAAAGUACAGAUUCUAGGUAGUGACGUAGUGUUUUUUAUUUAUUUGCAUCUAUAAUGACGUAGUGUGAGCAGGAUUUGAAAGAGGAAUCAAAGACUUCUUCUUCAUCAUCAAAGGCCCAUAACUAAUGGGAACGGGGCACAUUUUCAGCGAACUAGAACCGGGGAAUGGGUUGAGAAGACUGACUUAAGGCUUAGAAUCAAUGUUCAGGAAACUUAACCAACUCCGUGCCGGUGAAAAAUAAGAGUACUUAAACCUACCGUGAGAAUGGGUUUUCCUUGACAAAUAUAUAUAUAUAUAUUUUUUUUUUCCUUGACAAAUAUGAUUUAUUGUAUGGUUCUGUGACUUUGUAAAUUAUAAUGUGAUGGGGUUGAGAAGACCGACUUAGACUGAAGGGCUACACGGUUUUAAACAUGUAUAUGCUUCCCAUGGGACAAGUUGAAGUGGGUUUGAUAAAUAUGCUGGCAAUCAAAAGGUAUCUAUAGACAUUGUGUUUGUUUUUAGGUUUCUCAAUUCUUUCCCCACAAAAAAGGUAAAUAAAGUUCAAAAGUUGAUUCUAUUAAAACCAACCUGAUCUCACUUAUGCUUUUACUUGGAUAGGGAGAUAAGAUGACAUGUGAACUAGAAAAUGCAUGUAAAUAAAACAGGAGAUGCUAUAUACAUGCUCUUCCUGAAAAGAUGAUCUUGUAGAGCAGUUAAAGAGCAAGAGCAAGAGCAACGGUCUUCUCUCUCUGACAACAACAAGAUUUAAUGACUUAUUGUUGUUUUCGCAGCUCCAACAAUCAUCUCUUUCUUACACAGUUCUGUUGCUCGAUGAAAGUUUCUGGAAGAAGAACUAAUUUCUCAGUGGCUUUUGCAAACAGCUUGACACAACCAUAAUAAUAGUUGAAACUUGAAAAGAAAAAAAAACUUGAUAAGAAACUGUAAGAUACAAAGAAACUUAACAAUGAAAAAGGCCGCUUUGAAAUCUUUUCUGCCUGUAAACGGUUUAUAUUGUUUCUCUGUGUAAGGAAAAAAUUGUAAUGUACAACAGGAGUUAGUGUUCUUUUGCUUCUUUACUAGAACCACCUCUACAACAGCCAACAGACGGUGAAGGUCGAAACUUGUAAUAAGUAGCAAAAGACAAAUAAACGAAGCUUAGACCAACAUAGACUUUGAAACAGCUAUGUGAAUACAAGGUCAGAUAAACGAACACCCCUGUCAAAGAUAUCACCACUCCAAAAGUUGCAACGCAUUUCAAGAUAGAGAGUUCUUCUCCUCCUUGUCUUUGAUUUGGGAACUGCCCCUGAGCAUUGAAAUCAGAUAACAGUUUG
rnacentral:lncRNA from 1 species